rnacentral:rRNA from 1 species
GGAGUUAGCCGGUGCUUCUUCUGCGAGUAACGUCACAGAUGUAAGGUAUUAACUUACACCCUUUCCUCCUCGCUGAAAGUGCUUUACAACCCGAAGGCCUUCUUCACACACGCGGCAUGGCUGCAUCAGGGUUUCCCCCAUUGUGCAAUAUUCCCCACUGCUGCCUCCCGUAGGAGUCUGGGCCGUGUCUCAGUCCCAGUGUGGCUGAUCAUCCUCUCAGACCAGCUAGGGAUCGUCGCCUAGGUGAGCCUUUACUUCACCUACUAGCUAAUCCCACCUGGGCUUAUCCAUCAGCGCAAGGCCCGAAGGUCCCCUGCUUUCCCCCGUAGGGCGUAUGCGGUAUUAGCAGUCGUUUCCAACUGUUAUCCCCCACAAAUGGGCAAAUUCCCAGGCAUUACUCACCCGUCCGCCGCUCGUCAUCUUCAAAAGCAAGCUUUUGAAAUGUUACCGCUCGACUUGCAUGUGUUAGGCCUGCCGCCAGCGUUCAAUCUGAACCAAGAUCAAAUUCUGA